rnacentral:rRNA from 1 species
AACGCUAGCUACAGGCUUAACACAUGCAAGUCGAGGGGCAUCGGGAAAGUANCUUGCUACUUUUGCCGGCGACCGGCGGAUGGGUGAGUAACGCGUACCCAACCUGCCCCCUUCCCGGGCACAGCCCUUGGAAACGAGGAUUAACGCCCGAUGGCGUCGGAUUGCCGCAUGGCCUUCCGACCAAAUGCGAAGGAAGGGGAUGGGGGUGCGUCCCAUUAGCUAGUUGGCGGGGUAACGGCCCACCAAGGCGUCGAUGGGUAGGGGUUCUGAGAGGAAGGUCCCCCACACUGGAACUGAGACACGGUCCAGACUCCUACGGGAGGCAGCAGUGAGGAAUAUUGGUCAAUGGAGGCAACUCUGAACCAGCCAAGUAGCGUGAAGGAUGAAGGUUCUAUGGAUUGUAAACUUCUUUUAUACGGGAAUAACACCGUCCACGUGUGGAUGGCUGCAUGUAUCGUAUGAAUAAGCAUCGGCUAACUCCGUGCCAGCAGCCGCGGUAAUACGGAGGAUGCGAGCGUUAUCCGGAUUUAUUGGGUUUAAAGGGAGCGUAGACGGGACGUUAAGUCAGUUGUGAAAGGCUGCGGCUCAACCGCAGCACUGCAGUUGAUACUGUCGUCCUUGGGUGCGGUUGAGGUGCGUGGAAUUCGUGGUGUAGCGGUGAAAUGCUUAGAUAUCACGAAGAACUCCUAUUGCGAAGGCAGCGCACCAAGCCGCAACUGACGCUGAAGCUCGAAAGUGCGGGUAUCAAACAGGAUUAGAUACCCUGGUAGUCCGCACCGUAAACGAUGGAUACUCGCUGUCGGCGAUACACUGUCGGCGGCCAAGCGAAAGCAUUAAGUAUCCCACCUGGGGAGUACGCCGGCAACGGUGAAACUCAAAGGAAUUGACGGGGGCCCGCACAAGCGGAGGAACAUGUGGUUUAAUUCGAUGAUACGCGAGGAACCUUACCCGGGCUUGAACUGCUGAGGACCGGUCCAGAGAUGGACUCUCCCUUCGGGGUCUCAGUGGAGGUGCUGCAUGGUUGUCGUCAGCUCGUGCCGUGAGGUGUCGGCUUAAGUGC